UUUUUAAUUGAGAUCUUGUAUGAAUGGUUGAACAAAUGAAAUUCUGUCUUUAUAUUAAAUUUGAAUUUAACUUUUAAGUGAAAAGGCUUAAAUAAUCUAAGAAGACGAUAAGACCCUAUAAAACUUUACAUUAAAAUUAAAUGAAAUUAAUUUUUAAAAAUAAAAGUUAGUUUAAUUAUUUGUUAUGUUGGGGAGACAAAUGUUUAAUUUUAAAUAACUGCUUAAAAUAAAAACAAAUAUUUAUGGAUAAAUGAAUGAUCCUUUAAUAUAAAGAUUAAAGAUUAAGUUACUUUAGGGAUAACAGCGUUAUUUUUUUUGAGAGUUCUUAUCGAAAAAAAAGUUUACGACCUCGAUGUUGAAUUAAAGUUACUUUAUAAUGCAGAAGUUAUAAAAGUAGGUCUGUUCGACCUUUAAAUUUUUAC
rnacentral:rRNA from 1 species